GGGGUUGUGGCUCAGUGGUAGAGUGCUUGCCUCGCAAGCAUGAGGUACUGGGUUCAAUCCUCAGCACCACA
rnacentral:tRNA from 1 species